GUCAUUUUCUGGUUGGUGGAAGGAUUAGCGAAAAAACUGCCUAUGUUUCUCUCUCGUCAUCCGUCUCUCUCUCUUUCUCGUUUUCUCCGACUGCUAUUUCUAUUUGUCUCAAAUCGGAAGCAAUGCAUACUCGUGAAUGUUUCUGAUUAAGUUUCUCUCGAAUAUUGAAAUGAAAGUAUGCAAUUGUGUGUAUCAGACUAUCAGUAACGAACAUAUCGAUAGAUGUUUUUCAUGUGCCUCAUAGAGUUGAAGUAACUUUAAGGCUUGUAGUGUAUCCAUAGAUCCUUCUGAGAUGAAUUCUGUUUCCAGCUUCCAUGGCUAGAAAAAUCUACUUGAGAGCCGGUCUUGGAGUUGGUGCUUUCCCGCAUUAUUUGCUAUGGGAUGAUGAUCUUUAGUCUAUUUCAUCUGUGGAAAAUGAGGUAACAAGUAGAUUAAGAGAAACUAAAGUGGCAAUUUAGAACACCCGAAAUUGGAUUGAAGUUAUCUCAGAGUUAGUUAACUUCUCCAGCUUUCUUUGACUAUUAUUCUAUGAACUCUCUGCUUUUAAAAUGAAUGAAUCAGUUAACUUUGAGUUAAUGUUACCUUUUUGUUA